rnacentral:misc_RNA from 1 species
AACGCAUCUUGCGCUCCUUGGUAUUCCGAGGAGCAUGCCUGUUUGAGUGUCAUUAAAUUCUCAACUCUCUUAUACUUUUUGUAAAAGAGAGCUUGGACUGUGGAGGCUUGCUGGCCACUUUUUGGGGUCAGCUCCUCUGAAAUGCAUUAGCGGAACUGUUUGCGAUCUGCCACAAGUGUGAUAAGUUAUCUACACUGGCGAGGGGAUUGCUCUCUGUAAUGUUCAGCUUCUAAUUGUCUCUACUUUGUGAGACUACUUUUGAAUGCUUGACCUCAAAUCAGGUAGGACUACCCGCUGAACUUAA